CGGUCACAUCACAUUAAAACAUUGGUUCCCGUACGAUCACCGAAGUUAAGCAAUGUCGAACCUGUUCAGUACCUAAAUGUAACCGUUUGAGAAUACCAGGUGCUGUAAG